rnacentral:snRNA from 1 species
GUGCUCACUUCGGGAGCACAUAUAUUAAAAUUGGAACGAUACAGAGAAGAUUAGCAUGGCCCUUGAGCAAGGAUGACACGAUAAUUUGUGAAGCAUUCUGUAUUUUG